GGACUUCGCGGGGCUGCGGGACCCGCACCGGCUCAGGGCUCCCUGCCCGCACUUCGGAGAGCGCGGCACCUUAAAGGGACCUAGGCGCUUCCGCAGCGGGGUCCCGAGCAGCGGCCCCCGCAGACGGAGUCACUGACUUUGAGUUACGAAAAAAGAACCUAUAGCAGCUUGACAGUGAGGAGCUCUCUGCAUCUACCCUCCAGCAACACUGUUGACUCCCUUAUUGAAUACUUUUCACGACGAUUUGGCCUUCCUCCAGACCAUUGCAAGGGUCUGUGAUGUACACUUUCCUGCCACAAGUCAGAAAGAAAUGUUCACUGUGCUUCUGCCUCUGCUGCAACCCUUGGGCUAAGGCUGGAGAAAUGAGCUUGCUGUUCUGGAAAGCAUCUUGUUUACUGACUUCCAUGUAGAGGAAUAUAUGGUUUCCAUAUAGAGGAAGGUGGUUGGGAAUGCAUGUUGAAUGAGCCAAAUGACAGUAUCUGACAGAGACAGAUCAACAUACACAGGGACAGAUCAUCCUGUGCAAGGUGGCAACCACUAUGACAUAGUUACAAGAGGCUACUGUAGGGCAGCAUUGUCUGGGGGCUAGAAUCAGUGCAACAUGCAAAGGCUGACACUUGAAAAGACAA